UUUCCGUAGGUGAACCUGCGGAAGGAUCAUUAUUGUAUAACCGAGGUGCGAGGGCUGUCGCUGACCCGGCAGGUCGUGCACGCCCGAGUGCCCUCACACACAUCCAUCUCACCCCUAUGUGCACCACCGCGUGGGUCCCCCUUUGGCUUGUUCGGAGGGGGGCUUACGUUUUCACACAAACUUUGUAUGCAGUGUAGAAUGUAUUUUUUGUUUUUGCGAUCACGCAAUCAAUACAACUUUCAACAACGGAUCUCUUGGCUCUC
rnacentral:misc_RNA from 1 species